rnacentral:rRNA from 1 species
GAUGAACGCUGGCGGCGUGCCUAAUACAUGCAAGUCGAGCGAACGGACGAGAAGCUUGCUUCUCUGAUGUUAGCGGCGGACGGGUGAGUAACACGCGGAUAACCUACCUAUAAGACUGGGAUAACUUCGGGAAACCGGAGCUAAUACCGGAUAAUAUUUUGAACCGCAUGGUUCAAAAGUGAAAGACGGUCUUGCUGUCACUUAUAGAUGGAUCCGCGCUGCAUUAGCUAGUUGGUAAGGUAACGGCUUACCAAGGCAACGAUGCAUAGCCGACCUGAGAGGGUGAUCGGCCACACUGGAACUGAGACACGGUCCAGACUCCUACGGGAGGCAGCAGUAGGGAAUCUUCCGCAAUGGGCGAAAGCCUGACGGAGCAACGCCGCGUGAGUGAUGAAGGUCUUCGGAUCGUAAAACUCUGUUAUUAGGGAAGAACAUAUGUGUAAGUAACUGUGCACAUCUUGACGGUACCUAAUCAGAAAGCCACGGCUAACUACGU